CUGCUGCUCAUUUCUCUCCCUCCUCUGAGACUGACAAUUGAUUUAAUUACUAACUGCCUUGCCAGAUUUGUCAGCAGGAAUGAAAUUGAUUGGGGUCAGAAAAAAAUGCAGAGAAAAGCAGAAAAGGAGUGGCAAGGGGGAUGUAAUUACCAUUUACAAAACCUUGGCAAAUAUUAAGCAGUGGGUGUUGUUUCUGUGCACCUUAGCAAAUAUGGAACAGUUUGUUCUAAAGAUGAUGGAGUGAGAAGAAGAUGGAACAAGAGAAAGGCAUUGGCCAGAAGGGCCCUGAGAAAGACCUGGGAGCAAGCAGUAUGAAUGGUCCGUGGAAACAAUUUAAAAGGAACAGAGGGACAACAGCCCCCAGGAUUGUUCUUAUUUCAGCUUCAGGCUGCAGCUUCUAUCUCUUUAUGUGUCUGCCCAGCCACAUUUCUCCCAGGUUUGUGGCAUCCUCAAAACCUUCUUCCUGAGCCAAUGUCACCACCCUGGCCUGCAUGCAUACAACAUACCUUUCAACAGCUUGAACGAAGAAAACAGCAGAAUAUUAAAGAGCAAGAAAUAACUUUUUCAGGUGAAAAUCGAUUAGGACUAAUUUUUUGUGUGAGCUCGAUAGCUAGGUUAUUUAAUUAUUAACCAAUACAGUUAUCUGUGGCUUCCUCAUUUCAUCUGGCUUCAAUAGUUAGUGGUAUGUUACAUGUGAAGUUAUUUAAUAAGUUAAUUUGAUAUUUGUUACAAGUUACAACUUGUGUUACAAGCAACACAGUUAUUUAGUCCCAUGCAUUCCAGGCUUGUUAAGUAAUGCAUUC